rnacentral:rRNA from 1 species
UGGGAAUUUUGGACAAUGGGCGCAAGCCUGAUCCAGCCAUGCCGCGUGCGGGAAGAAGGCCUUCGGGUUGUAAACCGCUUUUGUCAGGGAAGAAAUCUUCUGAGUUAAUACCUCGGGAGGAUGACGGUACCUGAAGAAUAAGCACCGGCUAACUACGUGCCAGCAGCCGCGGUAAUACGUAGGGUGCAAGCGUUAAUCGGAAUUACUGGGCGUAAAGCGUGCGCAGGCGGUUUUGUAAGACAGAGGUGAAAUCCCCGGGCUCAACCUGGGAACUGCCUUUGUGACUGCAAGGCUUGAGUGCGGCAGAGGGGGAUGGAAUUCCGCGUGUAGCAGUGAAAUGCGUAGAUAUGCGGAGGAACACCGAUGGCGAAGGCAAUCCCCUGGGCCUGCACUGACGCUCAUGCACGAAAAGCGUGGGGAGCAAAACAGGAUUAGAUACCCUGGUAGUCCACGCCCUAAAA